GCUGGGUGCGGUGGUGCAUGCCUGUAAUCCCAGAGUUUAGGGAAGCUGAGACAGGAGGAUCAUGAGUUCAAAACUAGCCUCAACAAAAGUGAGACACUAAGCAACUCAGUGAGACCCUGUCUCUA
rnacentral:sRNA from 1 species